GCAGUAAUGCAUGGAGCUGACCAAUACUAAUCGGUCGAGGGCUUAUCCUAA
rnacentral:rRNA from 1 species